UCAAGCCUACGGGACGCAGCAGUGGGGAAUAUUGCACAAUGGGGGAAACCCUGAUGCAGCGACGCCGCGUGAGUGAGGAAGUAUUUCGGUAUGUAAAGCUCUAUCAGCAGGGAAGAAAAAAUGACGGUACCUGACUAAGAAGCACCGGCUAAAUACGUGCCAGCAGCCGCGGUAAUACGUAUGGUGCAAGCGUUAUCCGGAUUUACUGGGUGUAAAGGGAGCGUAGGCGGCCACGCAAGUCAGAAGUGAAAACCC
rnacentral:rRNA from 1 species